ensembl:snRNA U1 U1 spliceosomal RNA
AAAAUCAAAAUCGGUUCACCCAGGGCGAGGCUCGGCCAUUGCACUUCGGCUGUGCUGACCCCUGCGAAUUCCCCAAAUGUGGGAAUCUCGACUGCAUAAUUUCUGGUAGUGGGGGACUGCGUUCGCGCUCUCCCCUG